UCGUUUUCUAAUUUUAAUACAAAAAACUUUUGAAGGAAAUACAUAAGCAAUCUCAGAAAAUUCCAAUGGCGGCUUAAGUUUUUGAAUCUGAUGAUUUCCCGCAUUGUUCACGUCUUACUACAACGGUCAAAAACCAUCAAUCAUCUUCUCCAACUCCACUCGCUGCUACUGAAAACUGCCAUUGACCGUGAUAGUAACUUCGUCUCCCUGUUCAUAUCAUCUUCUUGCUCGAUUUCAAUCCUUUUUGCGAGACAAGUUCUCGAUAACUUGCCCAUAUUGCCACCGGUUUUUGCUUGGAAUUCACUCAUAAGAUCCUUCACGAAAAGCUCAAAUCCCGUAGAAGCAAUUAAACUCUUCUCUCAGAUGCUGGAAUCCGGCCUUAAACCGGACAAAUUCACAUACCCUUUUGUUCUAAAAGCAAGCGGUCUGUGUUCGAUGAUCAGUCAUGGUGGGGCUGUUCAUUCAAUGAUUUUGAAGGUGGGUUUCGAAUUUGAUAGGUAUAUAGGGAAUACCCUUUUGAGAAUGUAUGCGGCGUGCGGUCAAAUUGGGUUUGCGAGGCAGGUGUUUGAUGAAAUGCUUGUGAGAGAUGUGGUUUCUUGGAGCUCUUUGAUUGCGGGUUAUGAUGCGUGCAAUUGUCCACGGAAUGCAGUUAAGAUGUUUCAACAAAUGAAACUAGCGAAUGUGAAGCCAAAUUCAGUCACUUUUGUGAGUUUGCUUUCGGCUUGUACCCGAUUACUUGAUUUGAUCAAAGGGAAAUCUAUUCAUUCCUACCUUGUGGUCAAUAGCACGGAGCUUGAUGUUGCUAUAGGCACAGCACUCCUUCUGAUGUACUCUAAAUGUGGGCAAAUUGAGGAAGCAAUCAAAAUUUUUAAUUUGAUGAGUGAGAAGAAUUUGCAGGCAUGGACAGUCAUGAUUUCUGCUCUUGCAGAUAAUGGUCGAGGUUAUGUUGCUAUUUCCUUGUUCAUUCAGAUGCAACAAAGUGGCCUGAAACCAGACAGCAAAUUGUUUUCAGUGAUCCUGUCUGCCUGUAGCCACACAGGUCUAGUUGAUGAGGCUCGAAGAUUUUUUUAUCAGAUGCAAAGAUUUUUUUGUAUUAAGCCAACAAUGGAGCAUUAUGGGUGUAUGGUGGAUUUGUUUGGAAGAGCUGGCUUGAUGGAAGAAGCUUAUGGGAUCAUAAGGGACAUGCCAAUGGAGCCUAAUGCAGUGAUAUUAAGGAGCUUCUUAGGCGCAUGUAGGAACCAUGGUCAGGUUAUUAGAAUAGACGAUAAUCUGAGGAGAUUUCUGCUAAAACUAGAGCCUGAAUUUGGAUCAAACUACGUACUCGCUGCUAGUGUUUCUUCUCUUUCUGGUUCUUGGAAUGAUGCAGCUCAACUGAGAGAUGCCAUGAAACAAAAAGGUUUGAAGAAGGUUCCUGGAUGCAGUUGGAUUGAGUGAGUAGGAAGCUAGCUGAGGAAGAUUCAGUGGAGACAAUCAAGUACCAAGAGGGGACUUACGCUUCAGGGAAGAGAAAUAGUGCAUCUCUUGGAGGCUUCCGGUGUUAUCUCUUGGAGUUUUCUUUAAAAAAUGUACCAAUUUCUUCGAGUCUGGAGCUUGGGACCUUGGAUACUGUUCCUAGCAUAGAGAAUCUCAGCUGCAAGUUGGGUUUGUCAAUGCAAGAGGGUCAAUCUGGGUACUUCCGCUCAUUUUGUGCCUUCUCCAAGUGAAGCUAUUGUUAAUACAAUAUUGUUUGAAAUGGUACUAAAUUUCCUUGGAUGCACACAGCAGUUCAUGGCUUCAUCUCCCAGAUCAAAAACUUCAAGUUUCAACCUAUCCGAGCAGUGGCUCCUGAUGGCAGCUAUAACUCUUGUCUGUGGAGUCCUGGGUUAUCUUGUCUAUGAUGCAAUAAUGGCUACAGCAUCAGAACUUCUGCAACGUUUACUGGUAAUCUCUCCUUUACUUCUGGUUGUUGUGGUCCACUGGCUCUCCUCAGGCAGCCAUUUUAAUUUCCCCAUGCCGGGUUCUGAGCCUGGUGCCAUCCACCGAGCCGGGGGCUCUCCUUGGGACACAGGAGAAGACACAUGGGGAGAGAAGCAAACUGGCAGAUGAUGUGAUGUAUCUCCCAUCUGUAAAAAUCAAUGAAUCAGCCAAAACCAACACCUGCAGAAAAAGCUGAAUUCUCUUUGAUUGAACCAGGACCCCUCGAUCUAUUCCCACGAGAAUCUAACGGUCGUGAUUAUAUACAUAGAUGUGUACUGUGGAGCAGAGAAUUAUCACCUUGUCAGGUUAUUGUUUUCGCGUGUGAGAGUAAUUGGCCUCGUAAUGCCUGGCACGUGACACGUGUGUGCCAUUGUCCGAGAACUGUCAUUGUACGGCAUGGAAUUGAUUGGUCAAACCAUAAAAGUCAAAAAUAAAAAUAAAAAGUUACAAAUGGGUGAAAAUUUCUUUUUUUUUUUUAAUUUUGAAAAUAAAUUUGGCCCAUCAAUUUCCAUGCAUAAUAUUUGUUGACAAAAGUAUA